rnacentral:rRNA from 1 species
UACGUAGGUGGCAAGCGUUGUCCGGAUUUACUGGGUGUAAAGGGCGUGUAGCCGGGCUGACAAGUCAGAUGUGAAAUCCGGGGGCUCAACCCCCGAACUGCAUUUGGAACUGUUGGUCUUGAGUACUGGAGAGGCAGACGGAAUUCCUAGUGUAGCGGUGAAAUGCGUAGAUAUUAGGAGGAACACCAGUGGCGAAGGCGGUCUGCUGGACAGCAACUGACGGUGAGGCGCGAAAGCGUGGGGAGCAAACAGG